rnacentral:rRNA from 1 species
UUUCCUACGGGACGCAGCAGUGGGGGAUAUUGCACAAUGGGGGGAACCCUGAUGCAGCGACGCCGCGUGGGCGAUGGAGUGCUUCGGCAUGUAAAGCCCUAUCAGCAGGGAAGAAAAUGACGAUACCUGACUAAGAAGCCCCGGCUAAAUACGUGCCAGCAGCCGCGGUAAUACGUAUGGGGCAAGCGUUAUCCGGAUUUACUGGGUGUAAAGGGAGCGUAGGCGGCUCUGUAAGUCUGAUGUGAAAAUUUGGGGCUCAACCCCAAACGUGCAUUGGAAACUGCAGGGCUUGAGUGCCGGAGAGG